rnacentral:rRNA from 1 species
ACUUCCAGGCCUAACACAUGCAAGUCGAACGAUAUAGUGGCAGACGGGUGAGUAACGCGUGGAAACGUGCCUUUCACUACGGAAUAGCUUUUGGAAACGAAAGGUAAUACCGUAUACGCCCUCCGGGGGAAAGAUUUAUCGGUGAAAGAUCGGUCCGCGUUAGAUUAGCUAGUUGGUGAGGUAACGGCUCACCAAGGCUACGAUCUAUAGCUGGUCUGAGAGGAUGAUCAGCCACACUGGGACUGAGACACGGCCCAGACUCCUACGGGAGGCAGCAGUGGGGAAUAUUGCACAAUGGGCGCAAGCCUGAUGCAGCCAUGCCGCGUGAAUGAUGAAGGCCUUAGGGUUGUAAAAUUCUUUCGCCAAGGAUGAUAAUGACAGUACUUGGUAAAGAAGCCCCGGCUAACUUCGUGCCAGCAGCCGCGGUAAUACGAAGGGGGCUAGCGUUGUUCGGAAUUACUGGGCGUAAAGCGCACGUAGGCGGACUUUUAAGUCAGAUGUGAAAUCCCGAGGCUCAACCUCGGAACUGCAUUUGAAACUGGGAGUCUAGAGAUCAGGAGAGGUUAGUGGAAUACCGAGUGUAGAGGUGAAAUUCG